UGGGGAAUAAUGCACAAUAGGGGAAACCCUGAUGCAGCGACGCCGCGUGAACGAAGAAGGUAUUCGUAUCGUAAAGUUCUGUCCUAUGGGAAGAUAAUGACAGUACCAUAGAAGAAAGCUCCGGCUAAAUACGUGCCAGCAGCCGCGGUAAUACGUAUGGAGCGAGCGUUGUCCGGAAUUAUUGGGCGUAAAGGGUACGCAGGCGGUUUAAUAAGUCGAAUGUUAAAGAUCGGGGCUCAACCCCGCAAAGCAUUGGAAACUGAUAAACUUGAGUAGUGGAGAGGAAAGUGGAAUUCCUAGUGUAGUGGUGAAAUACGUAGAUAUUAGGAGGAAUACCAGUAGCGAAGGCGACUUUCUGGACACAAACUGACGCUGAGGUACGAAAGCGUGGGGAGCAAACAGG
rnacentral:rRNA from 1 species